GGAAGCCGAGCCGUUAAGAGCAGGCACGCUCACCAAUGCGAUAACCACGAAGGUUUUGGAAGCCUUUUCAAUUUUAUAAUAAUUUUUAGUGAUAUUGGUGAUUGGUCAGAAGGCUCUCUCAACUUUUAACGUUCAAAAAAGCUAAAGGGCGAAGCGCGUGUGCGAAGUGUGGAUGCAGAUUGCAGGCUACAAAGCUCCACUUUAAUUGGAAAGUGGGGCCCACGUCCCUUGCUUCGCUUUAUAUUUCGCCCUCUUUCUUUCUCUUCUCAGCGCGUCUUCCCACCUCCUCCGCACUCGUACAGAAAACUAAAUGAUUCGAAAAAGAUCGCCAGGAUCGGAUGGAAUCAGGGACUCUGUUAGGAGUGAGUCGUGAUGUGAUAUUUACGAAAUUAAUAAAUGUAAUGCAGUUUGCUACCAACGGUCCAUAAACUAAUUGCUC
rnacentral:lncRNA from 1 species